rnacentral:rRNA from 1 species
AGUGAACGCUGGCGGUAGGCCUAACACAUGCAAGUCGAACGGCAGCACAGUAAGAUCUUGCUCUUACGGGUGGCGAGUGGCGGACGGGUGAGGAAUACAUCGGAAUCUACUUUUUCGUGGGGGAUAACGUAGGGAAACUUACGCUAAUACCGCAUACGACCUACGGGUGAAAGCAGGUGAUCUUCGGACCUUGCGCGAUUGAAUGAGCCGAUGUCGGAUUAGCUAGUUGGCGGGGUAAAGGCCCACCAAGGCGACGAUCCGUAGCUGGUCUGAGAGGAUGAUCAGCCACACUGGAACUGAGACACGGUCCAGACUCCUACGGGAGGCAGCAGUGGGGAAUAUUGGACAAAGGGCGCAAGCCUGAUCCAGCCAUACCGCGUGGGUGAAGAAGGCCUUCGGGUUGUAAAGCCCUUUUGUUGGGAAAGAAAAGCAGCAGGUUAAUACCCCGCUGUUCUGACGGUACCCAAAGAAUAAGCACCGGCUAACUUCGUG